rnacentral:misc_RNA from 1 species
CCGAACCAGAACUGAACACCCCUACUCACACUAACAUAUAUUUACAUGCAUGAACUUCCUCAUGUCCUUCAAGAGCUUUCAGCUUUGGCCACAUCAUUCUCUGUCAUCAAUGCACAUCAUGAACUAUAUCCAGAAACAUGUCUCAUUAACACUAUUGGAUUCUUCAACAAGCUGGAGAAAGUUUCUUGGCUACAUUGACAUAUACAAUGUUUGAGCACUGAUUAUAAUAUCUUUUCCUCACAAGUUGAUUGUAUUUAGCUGGAUUCUCCAAGUUUCCGCAAAAAGAGAAUAUAUCCAAGGUGUAUCCCUCAGAAGAACAAGAAAACCAGACGUGAUGACUAGGUGGACCAUUUUA